rnacentral:miRNA from 1 species
GCCCUGGGGACUCAGUUCUGGU